GACGAACGCUGGCGGCGUGCUUAACACAUGCAAGUCGAACGGAAAGGCCCUGCUUUUGUGGGGUGCUCGAGUGGCGAACGGGUGAGUAACACGUGAGUAACCUGCCCUUGACUUUGGGAUAACUUCAGGAAACUGGGGCUAAUACCGGAUAGGAGCUCCUGCUGCAUGGUGGGGGUUGGAAAGUUUCGGCGGUUGGGGAUGGACUCGCGGCUUAUCAGCUUGUUGGUGGGGUAGUGGCUUACCAAGGCUUUGACGGGUAGCCGGCCUGAGAGGGUGACCGGCCACAUUGGGACUGAGAUACGGCCCAGACUCCUACGGGAGGCAGCAGUGGGGAAUAUUGCACAAUGGGCGGAAGCCUGAUGCAGCGACGCCGCGUGCGGGAUGACGGCCUUCGGGUUGUGAACCGCUUUCGCCUGUGACGAAGCGUGAGUGACGGUAAUGGGUAAAGAAGCACCGGCUAACUACGUG
rnacentral:rRNA from 1 species